UCACUCAGGAAGAGCAGGCCAACGCACACCUGUCCCGCUUCAGAAAGGUCCAACAUGAGCUAGAGGAAGCCGAGGAGAGAGCGGACAUUGCCGAGUCUCAAGUCAACAAACUGAGGGCAAAGAGCCGUGACAUGGGGGGCAAGAAGGGAGAGAGUGAGUGAACGCAGACUCCGUCAUAAGGCCGGCCGGGAGGAAAGCAUCAGAAUGCAGAUUUCUUUCUUGAUGUAUGUGAUUGUCUAUGAGGAGUCUAUGUCCCUUUGUGUAGUAAAUAAAAUGCAAAUCCUGCUGAAAUCCA